rnacentral:tRNA from 1 species
GCGCCCGUAGCUCAAUUGGAUAGAGUGGCAGACUUCGAAUCUGUAGGUUGGUGGUUCGAGUCCACCCGGGCGCG